UACAAACUGAAUAGUAACGGGGAGAGGGU
rnacentral:sRNA from 1 species